GAUGAACGCUGGCGGCGUGCCUAACACACGCAAGUCGAACGGAGAUUACGGACGGAAGUUUUCGGAUGGAAGCCUGUAAUUCUUAGUGGCGGACGGGUGAGUAACGCGUGGGCAACCUGCCCUAUACAGGGGGAUAGCAGCUGGAAACGGCUGGUAAGACCGCAUAAGUCGGUUAAAUCGCAUGAUUUGAUCGGGAAAUGAGCAAUCAGGUAUAGGAUGGGCCCGCGUCCGAUUAGCCAGUUGGCAGGGUAAAAGCCUACCAAAGCGACGAUCGGUAGCCGGACUGAGAGGUCGGACGGCCACAUUGGGACUGAGACACGGCCCAAACUCCUACGGGAGGCAGCAGUGGGGGAUAUUGCACAAUGGAGGAAACUCUGAUGCAGCGACGCCGCGUGAGUGAAGAAGUAUUUCGGUAUGUAAAGCUCUAUCAGCAGGGAAGAUGAUGACGGUACCUGACUAAGAAGCCCCGGCUAACUACGUG
rnacentral:rRNA from 1 species